ACAUCAAAGCUCCGGCGGUACAGGAUGGACCCGCGUCUGAUUAGCUAGUUGGUGAGGUAAUGGCUCACCAAGGCGACGAUCAGUAGCCGACCUGAGAGGGUGAUCGGCCACAUUGGAACUGAGACACGGUCCAAACUCCUACGGGAGGCAGCAGUGGGGAAUAUUGCACAAGGGGCGAAAGCCUGAUGCAGCAACGCCGCGUGAGCGAUAAGGGCCUUCGGGUCGUAAAGCUCUGUCCUCAAGGAAGAUAAUGAC
rnacentral:rRNA from 1 species